rnacentral:rRNA from 1 species
GGAGCCGUAGCGAAAGCGAGUUUUAACUGAGCGUUCAGUUACUUGACGUAGACCCGAAACCGGGCGACCUACCCAUGAGCAGGAUGAAGCGAAAGUAAAAUUUCGUGGAGGUCCGAACCCACGAGCGUUGAAAAGCUCGGGGAUGACUUGUGGGUAGCGGUGAAAUUCCAAUCGAGCCCGGAGAUAGCUGGUUCUCCCCGAAAUAGCUUUAGGGCUAGCCUCAAGGUGAGAGAUACGGAGGUAGAGCACUGAAUGUCCUAGGGGGUAUUGCACCUACCGAAGACUAUCAAACUCCGAAUGCCGUCAUCUUAUACUUGGGAGUCAGACUGUGGGUGAUAAGAUUCAUAGUCGAAAGGGCAACAGCCCAGAUCGUCAGCUAAGGUCCCUAAAUGUAAGUUAAGUGGUAAAGGAUGUGGGAUUGCACAGACAACCAGGAUGUUGGCUUAGAAGCAGCCACUCAUUCAAAGAGUGCGUAAUAGCUCACUGGUCGAGUGAUCCUGCGCCGAAGAUUUCCGGGGCUAAAACUUACUACCGAAGCUACGGCAUCAGUAAUGAUGGGUAGGGGAGCUUCCCAUACGGGUUGAAGCAUGACCGUAAGGACAUGUGGACAGUAUGGGAGUGAGAAUGUUGGCAUGAGUAGCGAGAUGUGGGUGAGAAUCCCACAGGCCGUAAACCCAAGGUUUCCAGGGGAAGGUUCGUCCGCCCUGGGUUAGUCGGGACCUAAGCUGAGGCCGAAAGGCGUAGGUGAUGGACAACAGGUUGAUAUUCCUGUACUACCGAUAACCGUUUGAGAGAAGGGAUGACACAGUAGGAUAAGCUAAGCACACUGUUGGUUAUGUGUGCCCAAGCAUUGAGGCAGUCAAAGUAGGCAAAUCCGCUUUGAUAAUGCUGGGAUGUGAUGGGGAGCGAAAUUUAGUAGCGAAGUAGCUGAUUUCACACUGUCAAGAAAAGUCUCUAUCGAGGUUAAAGGUACCCGUACCGCAAACCGACACAGGUGGGUGAGGAGAGUAUCCUAAGGCCAGCGAGAGAACUGUUGUUAAGGAACUCGGCAAAAUGACCCCGUAACUUAGGGAUAAGGGGUGCCACCAUCAGGUGGCCGCAGAGAAUAGGCCCAAGCGACUGUUUACCAAAAACAUAGGUUUCUGCUAAGUCGCAAGACGAUGUAUAGGAGCUGACGCCUGCCCGGUGCUGGAAGGUUAAGGGGAUCUGUUAGAGCAAUCGAAGCAGUGAACUUAAGCCCCAGUAAACGGCGGCCGUAACUAUAACGGUCCUAAGGUAGCGAAAUUCCUUGUCGGGUAAGUUCCGACCCGCACGAAAGGCGUAACGAUUUGGGCACUGUCUCAACAACAGACUCGGUGAAAUUGUAAUUCCGGUGAAGAUGCCGGAUACCUGCGACAGGACGGAAAGACCCCAUGGAGCUUUACUGUAGCUUGACAUUGGGUCUUGGUACUACAUGUACAGGAUAGGUGGGAGGCUUUGAAACCAGGACGCCAGUUUUGGCGGAGCCAUCCUUGGGAUACCACCCUUGUAGUACUGGGACUCUAACCAUAGGCCAUGAAUCUGGUCUUGGGACACUGUCAGGUGGGCAGUUUGACUGGGGCGGUCGCCUCCCAAAAGGUAACGGAGGCGCUCAAAGGUUCUCUCAGUACGGUCGGAAAUCGUACGUAGAGUGUAAAGGCAAAAGAGAGCUUGAUUGCAAGACAUACAGGUCGAGCAAGGAUGAAAAUCGGACUUAGUGAUCCGGUGGUUCUGCGUGGAAGGGCCAUCGCUCAACGGAUAAAAGCUACCCUGGGGAUAACAGGCUUAUCUCCCCCAAGAGUCCACAUCGACGGGGAGGUUUGGCACCUCGAUGUCGGCUCAUCACAUCCUGGGGCUGUAGUAGGUCCCAAGGGUUGGGCUGUUCGCCCAUUAAAGUGGUACGCGAGCUGGGUUCAGAACGUCGUGAGACAGUUCGGUCCCUAUCCGUCGCAGGCGUAGGAAAUUUGAGAAGACCUGUCCUUAGUACGAGAGGACCGGGAUGGACGUACCUCUGGUGUACCAGUUGUUCUGCCAAGGGCAUGGCUGGGUAGCUAUGUACGGAAUGGAUAAGCGCUGAAAGCAUCUAAGCGCGAAGCCAACUUCAAGAUAAGAUUUCCCACCGCAAGGGUAAGACCCCAGAAAGACUAUCUGGUUGAUAGGUCGAAGGUGUAAGUGCAGCAAUGUAUUUAGCUUAUCGAUACUAAUAGGUCGAGGACUUGACCAAU